rnacentral:rRNA from 1 species
ACGGAAGGCAGCAGUGGGGAAUAUUGGGCAAUGGGCGAAAGCCUGACCCAGCAACGCCGCGUGAAGGAAGAAGGUUUUCGGAUUGUAAACUUCUUUUAUCAGGGACGAAGAAAGUGACGGUACCUGAUGAAUAAGCCACGGCUAACUACGUGCCAGCAGCCGCGGUAAUACGUAGGUGGCGAGCGUUAUCCGGAUUUACUGGGUGUAAAGGGUGCGCAGGCGGGCUGCUAAGUCUCCGGUGAAAUGUCAGGGCUCAACCUUGGCACUGCCGGAGAUACUGGCGGCCUUGAGAGUGGCGGAGGUAUCCGGAAUGUGUGGUGUAGCGGUGAAAUGCAUAGAUAUCACACAGAACACCGGUUGCGAAGGCAGGAUACCAUACCAUAUCUGACGCUCAGGCACGAAAGCGUGGGGAUCGAACAGGAUUAGAUACCCUGGUA